CCUACGUGUGGCAGCAGUGGGGGAUAUUGCACAAUGGGGGGAACCCUGAUGCAGCGACGCCGCGUGAUCGAUGGAGUACUUCGGUAUGUAAAGCUCUGUCAGCAGGGAAGAAAAUGACGGUACUUGCCCAAGAAGCCCCGGCUACAUACGUGCCAGCAGCCGCGGUAAUACGUCUGGGGCAAGCGUUAUUCGGAUUUCCUGGGGGUAAAGGGAGCGUAGGCGGCAGGGCAAGCCUGAGAUGAAAGCCCGGGGUUCAACCCCAGGACUGCAUUGGGAACUGGCCUGCUGGAGAGUCGGAGGGGCAGGCAGAAUGCCUAGUGUAGCGGUGAAAUGCAUAGAUAUUAGAAGGAAAACCGGUGGCGAAGGAGGCCUACUGGACGGUGACUGACGCUGAGGCUCGAAAGCGUGGGGAGCAAACAGGAGUAGAUACACUAGUAGUG
rnacentral:rRNA from 1 species